UUCUUCAUCACUUUAGCUUCUUCCGACGAAAGUUCCAGACUCUGUGAUCGACCAUAGCUUUUACGAUUUCUUCUCCGUAACGGCGCAUUGAUUUCUACUUUGCUCCCAGGUUUUACGUAAUUAACACAUCCUCAUUGAUGUCGUCCUCAUUGAUGUCAAGUCCGACGAACCAGCGCGCCCGUCGUUCUAAACGAUCCGCCUCGGGAAGAGGCACAAGACCAGAGGCUAAGGGAGCUAAUCAAGGAGCUCGAUCGCCAGAAGAAAGCUCGAGAAGCCGCCUAGAGUUCGAAAUCGGAUCUCCAAGCGCCGUUCAAUCGGCUCAAAGCUCUUGCUCACGAGGCAAUCAAGAAGCGCAACGAGUCCAAGCGAGAGCGAGACGAAGCCUUGAAGAAAAAAAGAAGAUCUAUCAAACGAGCUUGAGAGUGUAAGUAAAAGCAAAGAUGGUCGGUUUUGAAGAAGCUUGACGAGGCUUUGAGAUCUAGAGAUGGUUUGAAAACAGAGAUUGAGACUUCGCCUCAUAUGUUGGUGAAGAUAUCUGGUAAAGUCAGCAGCUUUAAGAAUUUCUCAAACGGAGGUCUUCCGAAGUCUCAGAAGUACACAUGUCUGGCUUCUGUUGCUUAUUCGUCGGAGGGUUUAUUUUAGGUGUACUCGGCAUAUGCUCUUGGCUGCGUAUAUGCACAACAGCUAAUAUUCUAUUUAGUUGAUCACACUAACAGAUCAACAAGGCUAGAGCCUAUAGCUGGAGCAGACCGAAAGGAUCUCAGGAGGAAAUUCCCUAAAUACAUACAUGAUGAGGACAAAGCUUUGGAGAAAACUUGGAAGGUACUGGGUUGGAAAUUCACUCAGCUCAACUCUGCUAUGGAGGAUGCGACCUCUCAGCUAAAAACAGGAGAUACCCUCUAUGGUUCAGCU